GAGUUCUGAUAAAAACAAGGAAUUGUUCUUACAGCAAGUCCAGCAGAUAUUGGACGGUAUCAAGCAAGACAAGGAGCAGUUGGGUCAGAGAUGUGUUGAGGAGAGGAAAGAGAAAGAUCGACUGACAACCAUCCAUCUUGAUCUCAUUGACAAGCAAAGGAAGUAUUACAAAACUGUUAAAGACUUUCAAGAAGAGUGUCGCAAAAAUGAAACGCUGUUGUCAAAAAAUUAAAACUAAAAAUUGCUAGACCUCGUGUUAAUUUAAGGGCUAGAAAUACAAUAUAAAAUUGCUGUUGUGUGUUACUUUAGUUAUUGAUAAAGAUUGUAUCAAUUGAA